UUCAUGAUGUCUAAAUUUUUGUGCAGUUUUAAUCUAACAAUAUAACGAAUAAGUCAAUUAUUAUAGUUCUGAUAUAUUCUUACUUAAAUACAAUUUUUUUUCCAAAAAAAAUAUUAGUUAAUUGCAAAUCUAAAAUAAAGAAUAUAUUUACGAUGCAUUUUUUGAUAUAGACACACGUUUAUACAUACGUAUGUACUGAUCAUAAAGGUUAAAUAACCCUGGUUGGUUUAUAUCGCAAGAACAUACAUUCUUUUUAAUAUGUCAAACAAGUGGACCGAAGAUGAUACUGAGAAAUUAAUAAUGCUUUAUGGACAAUAUCAAUGUUUGUGGAAUCCACUCGAUCCUGAGUUUAGUAACAAAUUGUCACGUAGCAAAGCUUAUCGGGCAAUAAAGGACUCUAUCGAUAUCCCUGGAUUAACAAUAUGCGAUUGCAUAAAGAGAAUUGCGAACUUAAAGAAAGAAUACUGUUACGAGCUAUCAAAAAUUGCCGCAGCCAUAUCUUACGAAAAGUUGUACACACCAAGAGUAAAAUGGUUCAAAAGUGUACACGCCAUAUUUUUCUUUCGAAACAUGCCAUCAUUUUACCACAAUAAUUUCAAAAAGCAAGACGCAAACAAACAGAAAAGAUUUAUUAACGAUAACGCUACUCGAGACAAUGCUUUGCCCGUAGCUUUUGAGAAAGCAGAAGAUAAAAAUAUUAGCUCGAGUGAAACGUUUAAACUUCAAGACGAGUUUACUUUAAAACUGAGGUCAUUUGCUAUACUUAUUGUGUAUUACUAGCUUUUGUGACUCUAAAGUAAUACGAAAUAAAAUUACAAGAAUAGUUUUCAAGUGCAGAAAAAGUCCGAUUCAUUCUGCUUUGAAGCCGCAAGAUCCCCCGAGUCUUUCCAAAACAAUACAAACGGUUGAUAUUGGAGUAAGGGCUAGUAUCGAUACUGCAGAGCGUGAAACGCAGACGGAAGUAUUUUACGUUAGAACAACAACAUAUUGUUAAAGAUAUAUAGCAAUUUUUUUGUUCAAAUGUAAAUAGUGAUUGUAUUAUAUAGGAGCAAAGCUACGAAUUACGCGACAACAAAGAAAAGAAGGAUCGUUCCACGUUGGGUGAUACCUCUGUAAAAACGCACGAUAGAACAAAAUUUGAUGAUACUUUUGAUAUAUUUGGCAAAAGCGUGGCAUUCCAGUUGCGAACUAUCGAUAUACAAACUGCUGUGGAACUAGAAAAAGAGAUACAAAAUUUACUGACAAAGGCGCAAUUAAAAUCUUUAGAAUCUAAGCUAAUGAGCCAGAUUAGCAUUUCAGUUUGCUGUUGUGAGUGCAAAGACUGUAAAAUAAUGUGUAAAAAUGAAACUUGUAGCUGUGGUUUGCCAUUUAAGGACUGUUUAUUAUUGUCAAAAAUAAAAGACAAGAAUCAUCAAGUUUGUUACAAGUAACAGGUGAGAAAUAAUACCUAAAGUAGCUGUGAAAAGUUAAACUUUUUUUGUCAAGGUAGCGAAAUAAACACGAGUGUUUUUACUUCAAAUCCGAUUUUAUUACAUGAAAAUGUAGAAUACGCGAUAUUUCUCAUUGCAAAAAUUUAUGUAUACUUAUUAUCAAGAAUUAAAGCAGCUCAGGAUAUAUAGCAUCACAGAAAGUGAAAGAGAAUAUUUGGAUUUAACAAAACAGUAUAAAAGACAUUUGUUUUCUCGUACUAUUUGGUUUUACAUACAUAUUGCAUACUUUUAAACUUCUUAUAUACUGCAAUUCAUAUGAACGUGUACAAAUCAGUGUACAUAGUCAUGUAAGAUUAUUAAAUUGUUUUUCCUGAGAAUACGCAUUUUUAUAUAUGUAUAUAUAUAAUUUUUCUUCUUCUUUGAAUAAAUAAUACACGAAUAGAAAUGAGUUUAAAUAAUUUAAAAUGAUUGAAUUUACUAAAACAUUUUACUAUGCAUUUAUAUAUAUAAGAAACAUGUAUAUAUGUUGUUGUACUUCUACAAACAAAACUUAAUGACAAAUUUAAAAAAACCAACAGUUAACUGAUAACACAAAGAAAUAUCUACGUUAUUAUAUUGACAAGGGAACACACUUUUGAUGUUUGCUGAUUGAAUCAGUGCAUUUUAUCGUUUUUGUCGAUAAUAUAAUCCGGAUUAAAAAUAAACAAUCUUGCACAAAAA